rnacentral:rRNA from 1 species
AGCGAACGGGGAGCAGCCCAGAGCCUGAAUCAGUGUGUGUGUUAGUGGAAGCGUCUGGAAAGGCGCGCGAUACAGGGUGACAGCCCCGUACACAAAAAUGCACAUGCUGUGAGCUCGAUGAGUAGGGCGGGACACGUGGUAUCCUGUCUGAAUAUGGGGGGACCAUCCUCCAAGGCUAAAUACUCCUGACUGACCGAUAGUGAACCAGUACCGUGAGGGAAAGGCGAAAAGAACCCCGGCGAGGGGAGUGAAAAAGAACCUGAAACCGUGUACGUACAAGCAGUGGGAGCACGCUUAGGCGUGUGACUGCGUACCUUUUGUAUAAUGGGUCAGCGACUUAUAUUCUGUAGCAAGGUUAACCGAAUAGGGGAGCCGAAGGGAAACCGAGUCUUAACUGGGCGUUAAGUUGCAGGGUAUAGACCCGAAACCCGGUGAUCUAGCCAUGGGCAGGUUGAAGGUUGGGUAACACUAACUGGAGGACCGAACCGACUAAUGUUGAAAAAUUAGCGGAUGACUUGUGGCUGGGGGUGAAAGGCCAAUCAAACCGGGAGAUAGCUGGUUCUCCCCGAAAGCUAUUUAGGUAGCGCCUCGUGAA